rnacentral:rRNA from 1 species
ACGCUUCACGCCGCGUGAAGGAUGAACCCUUUGGGGUGUAAACUUCUUUUGUUAGGGAGGAAAAGUUAGUAGUUAAUACCUGCUAUAAUGACGUUACCUAAAGAAUAAGCACCGGCUAAUCUCGUGCCAGCAGCCGCGGUAAUACGAGAGGUGCAAGCGUUAUUCGGAAUUAUUGGGCGUAAAGGGCGCGUAGGCGGUUUUGUAAGUUUUUUGUUUAAUUCUCUGGCCCAACCAGAGGCAUGCAAAAAAGACUGCAUUGCUAGAGUGUAAUAGAGAGAAGUGGAAUUUUCGGAGUAGCGGUUAAAUGCGUAGAUCUCGAAAGGAACGCCAAUGGCGAAGGCAGCUUCUUGGAUUAUUCUGACGCUGAGGCGCGAAGGCGUGGGGAGCAAACAGGAUUAGAUACCCUGGUAGUCCACGCAGUAAACGAUGAUCACUAGACGUAUGUAAUUUAAUUAUAUGUGUCUCAGCUAACGCGAUAAGUGAUCCGCCUGGGGAA